UUAAAUCUAAAAAAAAUGUUCUGUCCUUGCGAGGAAUGCGGCGAUUUUACAGUACCACCAUUGAUGUCUUGUAAUCGGGAUAAAGAUUAUUGUUCAGCAGAACCUUAUUGCACCCCUUGCAUACCGCAAUGUGUGAAAGUGCCGGUCGUGUACUGCUGCGAGAGGCCGAAGCCGAAAUCACCACCCAAGGGUGAACGCGAGGAUUGUGUGCCAUUAGCUCACCACUCAUCUCGUGAUACACGGCAUAGUAACAAAUGCGAUUGUUCUCGAUGUCGGUACUGUAGUCCGCCAUGCUGCGCAUCACAACCUUCCUGUUGCAAAAGUCAUUCACCCCAACGUAAUUGUAGUCAUCACGAGUGUAGUCCGUGCUGCGAUGCAUACUGCCAUACUCCUUGCAAACCUGUUAGAACGAAAUAUGUUAUACCUUGCUACAGAUAUGACGAUGGUCGCAUAGUGAAGCAGCUUCCCGUGUCUGCCUUCAAGCGCAACGGCAUGCAGGACCAAGAAUUUUCGAAGCAGCUGGGCACUAUGAAUUGCCUCCAGCGGUGUCCUCGAGACGUUUCAGUCGAAUACGACGUUUGCACGUCCCCAGUAAAAGUGUGCGACCCAGUGAAAGUCCCAAAAUACAAACCUCUCGGCAACUAUAUGUUGCGAAAGAAACCAAUAGAAGUGAAUAUUGAAGACAUUUUAGAUGAAUGAUAACGCUGCGAAGAAAAAUCUUUCAAAUCUUUGCCUUUUGAAAAGUACUCACUAAAAAACACCUUAAUAAGUCAAUGCUAAUCAGCCGACAGUCUUAGCGCGGCGAGCGUGUGAGGUGGCGGUAGGCGCUCGCUGUCGGCGAAAACCUUACGUCCACUCGACAUACUCUGCAGAUUGCGACCAAGAAGUGCAUAAAUAUUGUUGUGAAGAUGAACAGGUAUAGGAGGGCAAUUGCUGCUUCCACUUCGAGAAAAAUAGCAAAAGCCACCAUGGAUAUUUUGAUGAUGCACUCAUCACAGAUGACGUUCCAGAGACGGAAAUGUGUUAUUCACCCGCGAAACAUAAUCUUUUUUACUGCGCUGC